GUGGGGAAUAUUCCGCAAUGGACGAAAGUCUGACGGAGCAACGCCGCGUGAGUGAUGAAGGUUUUCGGACUGUAGAGCUCUGUUGUUUAGGACGAAAGUGCCUGUUGCAAAUAGUUACAGGUAUUGACGGUACUGAACGAGGAAGCCACGGCUAACUACGUGCCAGCAGCCGCGGUAAUACGUAGGUGGCAAGCGUUGUCCGGAAUUAUUGGGCGUAAAGAGCAUGUAGGCGGGAAUCUAAGUCUGUUGUGAAAAUGCGGGGCUCAACCCCGUAUUGCGAUGGAAACUGAAUUUCUUGAGUGCAGGAGAGGAAAGGGGAAUUCCCAGUGUAGCGGUGAAAUGCGUAGAUAUUGGGAGGAACACCAGUGGCGAAGGCGCCUUUCUGGACUGUGUCUGACGCUGAGAUGCGAAAGCCAGGGUAGCGAACGGGAUUAGAUACCCGAGUAGUCC
rnacentral:rRNA from 1 species